AGCGAACGCUGGCGGCAGGCCUAACACAUGCAAGUCGAACGGAUCCUUCGGGAUUAGUGGCGGACGGGUGAGUAACACGUGGGAACGUGCCCUUUGGUUCGGAACAACCCAGGGAAACUUGAGCUAAUACCGGAUGUGCCCUUCGGGGGAAAGAUUUAUCGCCAUUGGAGCGGCCCGCGUCUGAUUAGCUAGUUGGUGAGGUAACGGCCCACCAAGGCGACGAUCAGUAGCUGGUCUGAGAGGAUGAUCAGCCACACUGGGACUGAGACACGGCCCAGACUCCUACGGGAGGCAGCAGUGGGGAAUCUUGCGCAAUGGGCGAAAGCCUGACGCAGCCAUGCCGCGUGAAUGAUGAAGGUCUUAGGAUUGUAAAAUUCUUUCAGCGGGGACGAUAAUGACGGUACCCGCAGAAGAAGCUCUGGCUAACUUCGUG
rnacentral:rRNA from 1 species